rnacentral:rRNA from 1 species
GGCCUAUCAGCUAGUUGGUGAGGUAAUGGCUCACCAAGGCGACGACGGGUAGCCGGCCUGAGAGGGUGACCGGCCACACUGGAACUGAGACACGGUCCAGACUCCUACGGGAGGCAGCAGUGGGGAAUAUUGCACAAUGGGCGAAAGCCUGAUGCAGCAACGCCGCGUGAGGGAUGAAGGCCUUCGGGUUGUAAACCUCUUUUAGCAGGGAAGAAGCGAAAGU